rnacentral:rRNA from 1 species
GAAUCCGAAGCGAAAGCGAGUCUGAAUAGGGCGCUAUAGUCAGUGGGGGUAGACGCGAAACCUUGUGAUCUACCCAUGGCCAGGUUGAAGUUUUGGUAACACAAAAUGGAGGACCGAACCAGUACACGUUGAAAAGUGUUUGGAUGAGCUGUGGGUAGGGGUGAAAGGCCAAUCAAACUGGGAAAUAGCUCGUACUCCCCGAAAUGCAUUUAGGUGCAGCGUUGUGUUAGUUUUAUAGAGGUAGAGCUACUGAUUGGAUGCGGGGGCUUCACCGCCUACCAAUUCCUGACAAACUCCGAAUGCUAUAAAAUGAUGAUCAGCAGUGAGGGCAUGGGUGCUAAGGUCCAUGUCCGAGAGGGAAAGAACCCAGAUCAUCAGCUAAGGCCCCCAAAUAUAUACUAAGUUGAUUUAACGUUGUGCGAUUGCAUAGACAGCUAGGAUGUUGGCUUGGAAGCAGCCAUUCAUUUAAAGAGUGCGUAACAGCUCACUGGUCGAGGAAUCCGGCGCCGAUAAUGAUCGGGAAUAAGCACAGAGCCGAAGCCGCGGACUUCGUAAGAAGUGGUAGGAGAGCGUUCCUGUCGGCGGUGAAGCG